UACGGGGGGGGCAAGCGUUGUUCGGAAUUACUGGGCGUAAAGGGCGCGUAGGCGGCCUGCUAAGUCGGAUGUGAAAUCCCUCGGCUCAACCGAGGAACUGCAUCCGAUACUGGCGGGCUUGAAUCCGGGAGAGGGAUGUGGAAUUCCAGGUGUAGCGGUGAAAUGCGCAGAUAUCGGGAGGAACACCAAUGGCGAAGGCAGCUCGCUGGGACGGUACUGACGCUGAGACGCGAAAGCGUGGGGAGCAAACAGG
rnacentral:rRNA from 1 species